GCUUGCUUUGGCAGCACAUAGUAAACUUGGAACGAUACAGAGAAGAUUAGCAUGGCCCCUGCACAAUGAUGACAUGUGGGUUCAUGAAGUGUCCCAUAUUUUU